AGGAGACUGGGCAGGGCCGGGUAGUCUCUGCGGGGGCCGACCUUGUGCCCUUUCGCAGUGAGUGGUGGCGGCCCUCCCAGGGAAGGGGUCCCCUUCCGUGCCCGGAGCUGGGAGCCGGGGCAGCCCUCGCCAGCGCCGCGCCCUCCCCGAGGCCCGAGGGAGGCGCCGCGGGAGGAAUUCCAGCCAUUUCCUCUGCGCCGCGCGGUAUGUGGCCUGCUCGCUGCCCGACCGCAGCGCGGCCCGGAGGUGGGGGCCGGCGGCGCGGGCCCGUCACCAGCCGCGUCUGGCAACUGCCCCGGCCUCGCCGUCCCGCUCCAGAUUCCCGGCUGGCCGCCCCUCGUCCCGGGCGACCAAACCGGCCCUGGAGCGGCCCCGGGCCGGCGCGGCGCUGCCGGGACCCCGGCUCCUCCCCGCGCGGCCGCAGCCGGCGGAAUCGCUCCCGCCCCACGCCCGCCUGCCUCCUCCGUCCUCGCCGCGCACCCUAACCCGCAGGUCCCCCGAAUCUCAGUUUGAAACUGAAGGUGGCCUUUGCUACGUCACCUUGGGGCACGUCCCUUAGCCUUUCUAAGCGUCAGUUUCUCCACCUGUGAAAUGGGCACCCUGACAAUAGUGCUACCUCAUUUGUGCCGCCCUGAGGUUAAAUGAGAAAGGGAACGUGCUGGAGCAAUGUCAACGAUGUUUUCGUUUCUCUAGGUAUCGCUGCUGUCCUCAGCUCUCCUGGAUCUUCCGCCCACCCUGCCCAGGGCCUCUUCUCCAUACUAAUUCUUGGUGGAGCAGUCGGGGCGGCUUUACAGGGGCGUCCUCAGCUAUACAUUUCAUCAUAAGGAACGUAUGUGCGUUGAUGGAGCUCACCUAGUGCCAAGAGAGCGGCAAAAGGCAUUGAAAUAAGAAGCAGCUUCCUGCCAACGGCAAGUACCUCUUGGUGGAGGUUGGAGCCAUGUCGAUGCUGCCCUACUUGUCGAGGCCGGCGUGUGCUGACGGCACAGGGACUGACACUCUGGGCUCACAGCCCACAUGGAGCCAAGGGGGGAGGCUCUUUCGCUGAGGUGCCCAUGGUGACAUCAGAAGCUUGCUCCUCAGCUAACACCGGGAAGGCCACGCGUGUGAGCAGCCCAGCUUCUGAACCUGAUCCUGGCGUUGGUUAGACUCACCGGAUAAUAAAGAAAAAUGGGACUCUCUCUAGGGGACUCUUUUUUUUUUUUUUGGUAAGCUGGGGCAUCUCUAAGGACAGUGUUUGGCACAAAAUGAAACACUCUCUGGGCUUUUCAGAAGUGCUUUUUCACAUCUGUUUUGCUCUAAAUGGAACGCAUUCGAAGUAUAUUACU